CUCAACGUACCGCGAUUUUCAACCUUUCGCCGAGUGACUUCAUAAGCAAGUUCAUCCAUGAAAGCAUCAGCUACAUGAGCAACAUCCUCCAGCUUGUUGAACCAGCUCUGGACAGCAGACAUCUUUAGCUUUUUGCUAUCAGCAUCGGAUAAUAGAGCAUCAAUGGUUUCCAACCUUUCUCGCAGUGUUACUAGAUGUUCCUGAAGAUUCCAAGCCUGAAUGACUUCUUCAGCCGCAAGUGAAACAAGCUUGAAAACCAGGCCACUGGCAAGAUCAGUUACAAAUGCAUCAGCCAUGAGUAUAGGAAAAGAAAUGUUUGUAAUGUAUGGAGAUUAUAAUUUGAUACUCCAGCAAUUUCACUGCUUAGAAGAGGGUUCAGCAGACAAGAGUGAAUGAUGAGUACUAAAAAAUCAAAUUGUGGUCAGCAACAACAUGGCCAACUCGUCAACUUGGCCGACUCGUCAACUUUGGCAACUUGUCAACUAGGCCACUAUACACCUACCAUAAUCCAAUAAUUUCAUGUAUAAAUACAAACUAUAAUUUACUACUUUAUAAGCCGGGCCAAGCACGAGAUUAUAUAAAUUUUUUAAGUUUAUUAUUUAUUAAAAAUAUAAUAUAUUUGAUAUAAUUAUUUAAAUUAUUUACCGCUUGGUCAUUUUUCAUUUCUUUCUUCUUAUGGCUUUCCAAAUUUUAUUUCCGUAUUCUUUGCCUGAAACUUACUUGAUCUUGAAAAAGAUUUUUGAAAUUGAAAUUCUCAAAAAUUAGUUUUUUGGAAUAUUAUUUUUGAGAAAAAUAUUUCCGCCACUUCAAGUUUUAAACUUUUUUUCUUAAAAACCGUUUUCCAGUACUGUAAAGGGGAGAAAGGAGAAACCAUAUCAUAUUUUAGAGAAAUUAUCCUCCGAUAAUACGUAUCUUAAUUUCUAGAAACUCAACAAGUGCAGGAAAAUAUUUUACAGAAGUUUUUGACCUAAAACAACGAUUUUUUUACUUCUCAAUAGUGAUGAAGUUUUUUCAAAAUCUCAGGUGAUAACUCUAAAAUCGACUAUACUAACUCCAAAAAAUCUCCUUUUAAGUCUAUAUAAAAUUUAUUCUAUACCCACCUUCUACUUUCAAACUCCAUAUUCCACCAGAAAGAGUACAUUUUCUAGUUCUUAAAUCACCUCCCCUGCCUUGAAAAGUCCUUCUUUCUAGUCUUUGUGAUCAUGUCCCUACUCACAUGUUCACGGCACAGAGUUGUCGAAAGUGGAGGCUUGCUGUCAAUCUCAGCUAAUGAAUGUGAUCAAGGACGGGACAGAGCUGGCCCUAUUAGCGUCUCAGUUCCGUGUAGAAUCAAUUAACAGGAGCUGGUCCUGCCAUAAGGAGCUAUACAUUCAAGUCGAUAUAACUAUGCACAACUUAUCUUUCUCGUCUGGUACAAAUUAUUAUCCCCUUACCUAACUUUUAUUUCAUUUUUCUUAUGUUUCCUGCGAACUCGGAAAAUCCUUCUUCCGUUCAGUAGCCUAAACGUUAACCUGUCAGGGAAAACACUUAGUGACGGGUUAAUAUGAAGAGUUGAUAGAAAAUAGAAAAAAUAUUUGACACAACUUGUUCCGGAGGUAUUAUUUCUCCUCGUCUUUUUCUCGGCCAUUUCCUGGUUAGUAAAUAUUUAACGGUUUUUCUGUGGUGUGCCCAUGGGCACACACUAAGCGCUAACUUUCAUGAGUAUGAUGCAUUUUUAUUGGUCCUCCAAUCAUAAAUAUGGAUGGCCCCCUGCAUUUGCAUCAAGUCCACCAAUAAAAACCCACCAAACUCAUCAGUUUAUUGUGUGCCCUUGGGCACACAUUAGAAAGACCCAAUAUUUAAUAUGCAAAAAGAUAGAGUUACAUGGAAGAAAUAUGAAGUUAUUUUAGGUGCCAAGUAGUCCAGAAUUAGAAGAUCACAAGCUCUUAUAAAUAAUUUUAGUGCUAUUAUAUAACAAAGAUUUGCCAUGUAAAGAAAUUGCUCAACAUACAGUAGUAAUCUAUAGAAUUAUCAAAGAACUCAUGCAACCUGUAAAUACAAGUUUAUUAUCCAAAAGAAAAAAGAGAUUAAUGUCUCAUAAUUAACGUGGCAUCCUCUGCACGUCCUCCAGCCAUGUCUGAUAUGCUAUCUUUGCUGGUGAAAAUGACUGUCAUGACAUUACUCUCAUCAAUCAAGUCCAUCUAUUUGUUUGAUGUGUUGGAUUUUGGACCAUUCCGCCCCACUUCCCUUCCUGUAUCUUUCUUGUAUUAUCGGACAAUGAGAUAUCUCCAUUGUCGAGAGAAGUAUGGAUAGACUUGAUCUUAUGAGCAACCUUAGAACGAUAAAGAACGCUGUUUUUAGUAGAAAAUAAAUGCCUCAACGUACCGCGAUUUUCAACCUUUCGCCGAGUUUCAUCCAUGAAAGCAUCAGCUCCAUGAGGAACAUCCCACAGCUUGUUGAACCAGCUCUGGACAGCAGACAUGUUUAGCUUUUUGCUAUCAGCAUCGGAUGAUAGAGCAUCAAUGGUUUCCAACCUUUAAUAUCCGAGCUUAUCCCGGUUUUAAUCAAUGCCUCAUCAAUGUUUAGCUUUUUAGUAUCCGAGCUUUAUCCCGGUUUUAAUCCAGGCCGGUUUUUGUGAAAAUGAGUCUUGGAGAGAGUAUUAGGUUUGGAUCCUUGCUGUUACAAUGUGGUACAAAGAAUUUUUAUUAUUUAAGCAUUGCACUUAUCAUAAUGUGAGUUAAGAAAUAGAUGUUCAUGAAAUAUUAAAAGUAAAGUGUUAGAUGUGUCUAACUAAAUGAUAUUACCAAUGUUAGACUUGCCUAUUCGUGAAAAUUAUUCUCUAAGAAAAUAAUACUAAUUUUAUAUAUUAUCAUCUUGC
rnacentral:lncRNA from 1 species